rnacentral:tRNA from 2 species
GGGGCGGUAGCUCAGCUGGUUAGAGCAGGGGACUCAUAAUCCCUGGGUCGUCGGUUCGAGUCCGACCCGCCCCA